GUGCCAGCCGUCGCGGUAAUACCGGCAGCUCAAGUGAUGGCCGAUCUUAUUGGGCCUAAAGCGUCCGUAGCUGGCCUCGCAAGUCCGUCGGGAAAUCCAUCAGCCCAACUGAUGGGCGUCCGGCGGAAACUACAAGGCUUGGGACCGGAAGGCUCGAGGGGUACGUCCGGGGUAGGAGUGAAAUCCCAUAAUCCCGCACGGACCACCGAUGGCGAAAGCACUUCGAGAAAACGGAUCCGACAGUGAGGGACGAAAGCCAGGGUCUCCAACCGGAUUAGAUACCCGGGUAGUCC
rnacentral:rRNA from 1 species